CAGUAGCCGCGGGAAUACGUAGGGCGCAAGCGUUAUCCGGAAUUAUUGGGCGUAAAGAGCUCGUAGGCGGUUUGUCGCGUCUGCCGUGAAAGUCCGGGGCUCAACCCCGGAUCUGCGGUGGGUACGGGCAGACUAGAGUGAUGUAGGGGAGACUGGAAUUCCUGGUGUAGCGGUGAAAUGCGCAGAUAUCAGGAGGAACACCGAUGGCGAAGGCAGGUCUCUGGGCAUUAACUGACGCUGAGGAGCGAAAGCAUGGGGAGCGAACAGGAUUAGAUACCCUGUAGUCCCUGUCUCUUAUACA
rnacentral:rRNA from 1 species